GAUGAACGCUAGCUACAGGCUUAACACAUGCAAGUCGAGGGACCGGCGCACGGGUGAGUAACACGUAUCCCACCUGCCCUUUACUCGGUGAUAGCCUUUCGAAAGACAGAUUAAUACCCGAUGUAAAGGAUGGGGAUGCGUUCCAUUAGGUUGUUGGUGAGGUAACGGCUCACCAAGCCUUCGAUGGAUAGGGGUUCUGAGAGGAAGGGCGCCCACAAUGGAACUGAGACACGAUCCAAACUCAUACGGGAGGAAGCAGGGAGGAAUAUUGGGAAAUGGGAGUUAGCCUGAACCAGCCAAGUAGAGUGAAGGAGGAAGGCUUAUGGGUCGUAAACUUCUUUUAUAUAAGAAUAUGUAUUAUAUGAAUAAGGAUCGGCUAACUCCGUGCCAGCCGCCGCGGUAAUUC
rnacentral:rRNA from 1 species